UACGGAGGGUGCAAGCGUUAUCCGGAUUUAUUGGGUUUAAAGGGUCCGUAGGCGGGCUCGUAAGUCAGUGGUGAAAUCUCAUAGCUUAACUAUGAAACUGCCAUUGAUACUGCGGGUCUUGAGUAAGGUAGAGGUAGCUGGAAUAAGUAGUGUAGCGGUGAAAUGCAUAGAUAUCGUCAAGAACACCUAUAGCGAAGGCAGCUUACUAGGCUGUAACUGACGCUGAGGCACGAAAAGUGUGGGGGAUCAAACAGG
rnacentral:rRNA from 1 species